ACAUAGAGAAACACAGAGAGUGAGAGACAGAGUGAGAGGGACAGGGGGAAACAGAUCAGCAGGGGGUCUUGGCUAACUUGAUGGCUCAAAGAACUUUUUCUAAUUUUGAGAGGAGGUGCAUUUAUUCUUGCUUCCUGCAGCACAAGAAUAAAAAUAUUUGAAGAAGCUUUGUAGAGUUUGAAAUCUGAAUCCUCAGUGAACAGAAGCAAGAUCAUGAAGUCCUUUGGUGUCCUACUAGUGAUCCUUUGGCUUCAGUUCAUUUGGGUGAGCAGCCAGCAGAAGGAGGUGGAGCAGAGUCCUGAGUCCCUCAGUGUCCCAGAGGGAACCAUUGCCUCUCUCAACUGUACUUACAGGGAUAGCACUUCUAACACCUUCAGGUGGUACCGACAGCAUCCUGGGAAAGGUCUGGAGUUGCUCAUGUCUGUAUACUCCAAUGAUGACCAAGAAGAAGGAAGAUUCAGAGCACAUCUCAACAGAGCCAACCGCUAUGUUUCCCUGCACAUUAGAGACUCCCAGUCCCUUGACUCAGCUA